AUGUCUGGUGUAAGUUUCCAUGUUUUAGCUGUACCUGUGACACAGGACACGAGAGAACGUGCUCAUGUGAACACAAGUGAAGGACACCGUGAGGGCUUGCCACGCAGCCCCAUUCCUUCUCUCCAAGAGACGCCUGUACCAACCCAUGGUGGGGGAAAGGACAAAGAUGAGAUCCUGAGAAACUUGAGGAAUGUGGUAAUGGCAGCAGACACAUUCCCCUUGCAUCACAAUGGUCUGUGGUACCACCUCUGCACCUUGGCCCAAGACCUAACAGCAACAAAAAUAAGGGUUGCAAAGACGAGGGCCAUGAAAUGGCACUACCACAUUGAUGGGUAUGAUUCAUUGUACGACACACUGCUUUCCUACAGAUGAUGACAAUUGACACCACCCCCGAGGAAUGUUAGCAUGGACAAAGUUUCCACACAGUCUGGUCACUACUUGAGAUCUGCAAAUGUUUAGAAACUUAAUUGUUUUAUUCUUUCUAAAACUUACCUUUUUUAUCUGUUAAUACUCUAUGCAUAUGUUGACUUUAAACAUUGCAAAAAGAUUAAAAACCAAAAAAUAACAGCGGUUUCAUGAGCUGCUGGUAAUUACUGGCUGAACUCACUUGUACUUGUUUAUUUCUUCUGUCGCUAUUUUCUUUUUUUUCCUAAUGUUUACUUUUGAGACAGAGAGAGAGUGAGCACAUGCAUGAGCGGGGGAGGGACAGAGAGAGAUGUAACAGAAUCUGAAACAGGCUCCAGGCUCUGACCUGUCAGCACAGAGCCUGACACAGGCCUUGAACUCCUGGACUGUGAAAUUAUGACCUGAGAUGAAGUUGGACGCUUAAACGACUGAGCCACCCAGGCGCCCCUUCUGUAGCUAUUUUCAAAUUUUACCUGCAGCUGCCAGCUCAUUCUUCUUUGCCGCCAGUGUCACUUUCAGCUUCCUAAGUUCCCCCUUUUUACCUCCCAGCACUCUUGCAGGCCUAUGCAAAUAUCCCUUCCCCCACUUUCCCCUAAACGCACAGACUGACAACCCAAUCAGAGAAAUGAAGUGAACACCCCAUUUAAGUUCAAGAAAGUUCAACCUCUGUCUGCUGCCACGUCUCUAAUAUUGGAACUGUCUUUCUAGUUCUCUUGUUUCCUCUCCUUUAUCAUAAAGUCAUCAAAAAAACAUUGUACUUUGUGCCUUCCCAGAGUUGGUCUUUUGUUUGAUAUGGCAAAGACUCAUUUCAUCACUGAGUGAAAAACCAUAUCUGACCAACUGUACCCAUUAGGAUGAAGCAGGGGAUCAUCACUAGUCUUACACCUCCGUGGGGAGCCCUGAUUCUCAGUCCAAAAGUUGUACCAUGACACAGGCAAUCACCUGAAAGACGACCUUCCAGAAUAUG
rnacentral:lncRNA from 1 species